GAAAAUACUACUUUCCCUCCCUUUCACGAUGUAUGAUCUUCAAACCUAACAGCGUCUUAAAAUUCUGUUUUGAAUAUUAGAUGCUGAAAGUUAACUCUUUUUUUUCUUUGCAUUUUUUUCAGGUUUCCUGACCUCACCACCUCUAUCAUACAUAGAUGCCUUUGGCUGACUAGGUCCCGAAUAAAGCAAGUCUUCGAGAACACUAAAAUUUCUACCGCAUGCUGCCUUAAGCAUCACCCUUACUGAGAAAUGGUGAUAUCUCUUCUAUAUCAACAGGAGUGGUGGUGAACUGUAAUUUCUAAAAGGCAAAAUUGCAUUGUAAAAUUGCUAAAUGUUGCAAAUAAGGAUUUUAGAGAAGCUAUUUGGUCACAGUAGAAUGGAGAUUUCUGUUAACGUUCAAUGGAAGGUUCACAUUAGAGGUCAUCUCAGAGAGAUCAAGGUAAUAUUCUUUUAGAAACUUGCUAUGACCCUCUACUGUAAUUAGUGAGUCCGAGAUACCUGAGGGAAAUCUAAAUUUGUGAUAGUUCUGGUAGGCCUUUGUAGUCAGAAGUGGGGAGAAAUUGAAAGUUUGGAUGAGACUUAUGUCUACUGUUAUUGACAUAUUUUGUCCAUUAAUAGUAAUGAAAUAGAUAUUUUGUUCAUUAAUAGUAACAGAUGGAGAAAACGUCACAUAAUGAAGACUUGUAGAACAGUUGUAAAGCAUAGACAUAAAAUUGUGUUCUAUACAGCUCAAUUCAGAAGAGUCCAUUAUAUCAGAAGAAAACCAAACAAUAAAAAUUAAAUACGAUGGGGAACAAAAGGCAGGAAAACAACACAUUAAGAAUAUCUGAACAAGAAUAUCUGAACAUGAAUAUCUCCAGGGAUCCAAUGACGUAGGGAUCAAAUCAAAUUAUUUUUUAAAUUUUGAGUUUAAAAUGAUACAGUUAACUUUCUAAUUUAAAAAUUUCCAAAUAUUUGAUUGUUAAUUCCAAUUUAGUGUCUUUUUGAUUCCUGAACUCUUCAGGAGAAUGGCAGAGAAGAGCAUAUCCUUUUUAAUGAUAGGCUGGAAAAUUCGGAUAAGUAGAAUGACCUGGGCUUCAGUUCAUAUAUGGUCAUUUCAGACACAGUACCACACAGAAAAAGAGAUUUAUAAGCAGACUAUGUCAGCAAUCCUAUUCUUGGAUGCAAAGGAUUAUAAGCCUAGCACAAAGUAAAUAAUCAGUAUUUGCUUACAUUUACAAAAGGCUACACAAAAGAUUGUGGACAAUAUGGACAAAGAGCAAAAUUAACUCCCAAACUCAAGACAAGAGGGUUCUGUAUGUCGAGUGAUAAAGGAGAUUUUGGAACUCUGUACUUGAAUUCUUCCAGAAAUCAAGAACCACAGUGUGUUUGUGCACAUACUGCCAAUGUAUACAUUCAUGGGCCCUAACAUGAAACUCCUUAGCGGACCUACACACAGAAAAUAAAAUGCACUUGAUUUGAAAGCACUGUUUCAAGUGUUUCAAUAUGCAAAGCCAAUUUUUAUUAAUAGAGCAUAGAGAAGAUAACUUUUUUCCUUCUCUGAUUUAGAUUGUAAAACAUUUAGAUUGUAAAACACUAAUAUUUAAGUAGUGCUAUUUUCAGUUUUAUUGCUUAAUGUUUGAAUGUGCAGAAGAUCUUAAGAAUCAAUUGUAAGUCCAAUACUUAUUAAGUCUAAGUGAGAAAAUCUACAAUUUUCAUAACUCAGUGUCUUGAACAGGUUGUAGUGAUGCUAUUUGAUUAGUUUAACACCUCAGAGGUAUGGUUUGCUGAGAAUAUGAUUUUGAAGAGUUUUAAGUUUAACAAAACUCUAUAGUGAACUUCACCAUAGGAUAAAUUGCACAUUAACAUGUAUGUGAAAUUUAACACUUGAGAAUAAUAUUCUAUCUGUAAUUAAAUAAUACAUUAAAUGUCUCAGGUCAGAAUCACUGUUAUCAACUGUGAGAUAUAUUUGCUGUUUUAGGCAACUGAUGCAUGGAGUAAAUAGUAGUAAUCUACUAUGUAACCAAAAGAGUUAACAGUCUUCCUGGUAAGCCAAUCAUAAACAUCCCCAAAUUUAUUAUUUAUCUUGAUGUUAAAGUGUGCUAAAUGAUAUACCUUGAUGUUAAAGUGUACUAAUUUUCAAAAAGUAAAUAGUUUCCUAUGCAAUGGUCUCUCCUUAUUCAUGAAGGCUAUGUUCCAAGACCCCCAGUGGACUCCUGAAACCCUGGAUAGUACCAAAUGCUGUGUAUACUAUGUAUUUUUCCUAUACCAACACAGCUAUGAUAAAGUUUAAUUUAUAAAUUAGGCCCAGUAAAAGGUUAACUAAUAAUAAAAUAGAACAAUUAUAACAAUAUACUGUAACAAAAAUAUGGGAAUGUGGUCUCUCUCUCUCAAAAUAUCUUAUUGUACUAUACUGUACUGUACUAUGCUAACCUAUUCUCUGACUGCUGUUGACCAUGGGUAACUGAAACUGCAGAAAAUAAAACAGCUCAUAAGGGAGGACUACUGUGAUAUUUUUUAAUUAACGAGAAAACAAACUUCUUGACAGAUAAUCAAUUAGACAAGAAAAUGGUGAAGAAAUGUGU
rnacentral:lncRNA from 10 species